AGGAGUAGGGGGGUAAAGGAUGGUGACUAGAUGUAGACCAGUCAUCAGGACAUUAAGGAGUAGGGGGGGUAAAGGAUGGAUGGUGACUAGAUGUAGACCAGUCAUCAGGACAUUAAGGAGUAGGGGGGGUAAAGGAUGGUGACUAGAUGAAGACCAGUCAUCAGGACAUUAAGGAGUAGGGGGGUAAAGGAUGGUGACUAGAUGAAGACCAGUCAUCAGGACAUUA
rnacentral:lncRNA from 13 species